rnacentral:rRNA from 1 species
UGGGGAAUAUUGGGCAAUGGGCGAAAGCCUGACCCAGCAACGCCGCGUGAAGGAUGAAGGCUUUCGGGUUGUAAACUUCUUUGAUCAGGGACGAAAAAAAUGACGGUACCUGAAGAACAAGCCACGGCUAACUACGUGCCAGCAGCCGCGGUAAUACGUAGGUGGCAAGCGUUAUCCGGAUUUACUGGGUGUAAAGGGCGUGUAGGCGGGCUGACAAGUCGGAUGUUUAAUUCCCGGGCUUAACUCGGGCGGGUCAUCCGAAACUGUCGGUCUUGAGUACUGGAGAGGAUAGUGGAAUUCCUAGUGUAGCGGUAAAAUGCGUAGAUAUUAGGAGGAACACCGGUGGCGAAGGCGGCUAUCUGGACAGUAACUGACGCUGAGGCGCGAAAGCGUGGGGAGCAAACA